rnacentral:rRNA from 1 species
AUUGAACGCUGGCGGCAUGCCUUACACAUGCAAGUCGAACGGUAACGGGCCUUCGGGUGCCGACGAGUGGCGAACGGGUGAGUAAUACAUCGGAACGUGCCCGAUCGUGGGGGAUAACGAGGCGAAAGCUUUGCUAAUACCGCAUACGAUCUACGGAUGAAAGCAGGGGACCGCAAGGCCUUGCGCGGACGGAGCGGCCGAUGGCAGAUUAGGUAGUUGGUGGGAUAAAAGCUUACCAAGCCGACGAUCUGUAGCAGGUCUGAGAGGAUGAUCAGCCACACGGGGACUGAGACACGGCCCACACUCCUGCGGGAGGCAGCGGUGGGGAAUUUUGGACAAGGGGCGAAAGCCGGAUCCAGCCAUGCCGCGUGCAGGAUGAAGGCCUUCGGGUUGUAAACUGCUUUUGUCCGGAACGAAAAGCCUUCUUUUAAUACGGGAGGGUCAUGACGGUACCGGAAGAAUAAGCACCGGCUAACUACGUG